rnacentral:rRNA from 1 species
GACGAACGCUUGCGGCGUGCUUAACACAUGCAAGUCGAACGGAAAGGCCCUGCUUUUGUGGGGUGCUCGAGUGGCGAACGGGUGAGUAACACGUGAGUAACCUGCCCUUGACUUUGGGAUAACUUCAGGAAACUGGGGCUAAUACCGGAUAGGAGCUCCUGCUGCAUGGUGGGGGUUGGAAAGUUUCGGCGGUUGGGGAUGGACUCGCGGCUUAUCAGCUUGUUGGUGGGGUAGUGGCUUACCAAGGCUUUGACGGGUAGCCGGCCUGAGAGGGUGACCGGCCACAUUGGGACUGAGAUACGGCCCAGACUCCUACGGGAGGCAGCAGUGGGGAAUAUUGCACAAUGGGCGGAAGCCUGAUGCAGCAACGCCGCGUGCGGGAUGACGGCCUUCGGGUUGUAAACCGCUUUCGCCUGUGACGAAGCGUGAGUGACGGUAAUGGGUAAAGAAGCACCGGCUAACUACGUGCCAGCAGCCGCGGUGAUACGUAGGGUGCGAGCGUUGUCCGGAUUUAUUGGGCGUAAAGGGCUCGUAGGUGGUUGAUCGCGUCGGAAGUGUAAUCUUGGGCCAUAACCCUGAGCGUGCUUUCGAUACGGGUUGACUUGAGGAAGGUAGGGGAGAAUGGAAUUCCUGGUGGAGCGGUGGAAUGCGCAGAUAUCAGGAGGAACACCAGUGGCGAAGGCGGUUCUCUGGGCCUUUCCUGACGCUGAGGAGCGAAAGCGUGGGGAGCGAACAGGCUUAGAUACCCUGGUAGUCCACGCUGUAAACGGUGGGUACUAGGUGUGGGGUCCAUUCCACGGGUUCCGUGCCGUAGCUAACGCUUUAAGUACCCCGCCUGGGGAGUACGGCCGCAAGGCUAAAACUCAAAGGAAUUGACGGGGCCCCGCACAAGCGGCGGAGCAUGCGGAUUAAUUCGAUGCAACGCGUAGAACCUUACCUGGGUUUGACAUGGAUCGGGAGUGCUCAGAGAUGGGUGUGCCUCUUUUGGGGUCGGUUCACAGGUGGUGCAUGGCUGUCGUCAGCUCGUGUCGUGAGAUGUUGGGUUAAGUCCCGCAACGAGCGCAACCCUUGUUCACUGUUGCCAGCACGUUAUGGUGGGGACUCAGUGGAGACCGCCGGGGUCAACUCGGAGGAAGGUGGGGAUGACGUCAAGUCAUCAUGCCCCUUAUGUCCAGGGCUUCACGCAUGCUACAAUGGCUGGUACAGAGAGUGGCGAGCCUGUGAGGGUGAGCGAAUCUCGGAAAGCCGGUCUCAGUUCGGUUUGGGGUCUGCAACUCGACCUCAUGAAGUCGGAGUCGCUAGUAAUCGCAGAUCAGCAACGCUGCGGUGAAUACGUUCCCGGG